GACAGAGGUGCCAAGCGUUAGGCGGAAUCACUGGGCUUAAAGCGUGUGUAGGCGGAUCGUUAAGUACCUUGUGAAAUCCCAUGGCUUAACCAUGGAACUGCUUGGUAUACUGGCGGUCUUGAGCCACUUAGGGGCUACCGGAACAAAUGGUGGAGCGGUGAAAUGCGUAGAUAUCAGGAGGAACACCGGUGGCGAAGGCGGGUCUCUGGGCCGAUACUGACGCUGAGGAGCGAAAGCGUGGGGAGCAAACAGG
rnacentral:rRNA from 1 species